GGAAAAGUUGCAGUCUGAUCCUGUCUGGAAGUAUUUAAUGGCACAUAAAGCAAUCCAGCAGGGUGAGAAGGUUGUUCGAGGACGGUAAUUUUUAUAUUUGUUGCACAAGACUUAGCUGCUUGGAGUAUGAUUGAAGUAACGAUUCUGAGGCACAAGGUUGUGUACAAAAUUCUCUAGUAGUAAAUUUUAUUAAUGUGUGUGUGUGAUCUUGCUGUCUUGCAAAAGGAAAUAAAAAGUGAAAAAGAUUGUUUGGACAUUCUUUUGAUUAUGUCAAGCUCAAAAUCAAGGAUGACUUUCCUCAACCUAAUGUCUUAAUAUUAUAUUCUCUUUGACGUGAUUUUUGCGUGAGCUUGGGGAGGGAACUUGACAUUAGAUCAGUAUGCAAGGAAGGCUAUGGAUCCAUUUGCUUGAGAUGGCUGUGAAGGGCAAUCAUAUGGGAAAGUGAGAAGAGCUAAAAGUUUUAGAGGCAAUGCUUACCCACUUGAUUGUUAUGAACCCAUAGAUAAGAAGGCCUUUCUUGUAGACCGUUCUUCCUUCGACAUAGAUGGCCUUUCUAUAGGACUGAGCCAAUUUACCUAAAGGAUUCAUCAGUAGGACAUCUCUAACAUACACGAUGCCUUGAAACUUAAGUUUGUUACGAUUAAUAUAGUUUACUGUGUUUUGGUCAUGUGGUAAAUUAUUUUAUAUCUUGCUUGUCUUUGUUGAUUUUUCUUAAUCUCCUGUUUUCUUGUAGACAACUUCAUCCCAAAGUACCCUUUUUGAUCAUUUGAUCAAUGUCUGGGAAUUUAAUCUGGGACCUGUUCCAGGAACCUGCAAUCUUUAUUUCUUGGUGGACUUUAAAGUUCCAGUCACCAUUAUAUGGACAGGUGAGCAUCAAUACUAUAUUAGUUUGUGUGACAACUUGGAUAGGCAUAUAGCAGUAACGAUGUUUGUAAUUAUUUUAAUUUAUUUUGGUAGAUUAAUUAUCUGUUGAGCUCAAUAUCUUCAG
rnacentral:lncRNA from 1 species